AACAGAUUAAUAUUCAGCAGAGCGAUAAAUGCAUCCUUCUCCUUAAUUCUGCUGCAGGCAACCCUGCAGGCACCUCUGUCCUUGGUUGCUUUGAUCAGCUCCACCUGUGCCCACACCUGCUGCCCAUGGACGGCUAUACUUCUGACUUUUUACUCUGCCUUUGACUGGAGUUUGUGGGGCUGUGGUUGGAGGUUUUGGCUGCUGUGGAACUGCUACAUUGGCUUAGUGAACCUAUCUGUACCUGUUGGCGAUUUGAACCUCUGCCCACACAGCCCUGUGACCAGAGACUUUCAACAGGUUUGUCUCCUUGGCUGCAAUAGAGGGAAGAUGACGUUUCCUUUCUUUGUCUUUGUGAAGCUGAAAAAGAUUGAUGCCCUUUAAGAAGAAUCUAAGGCUAUGUACUUCUAUAUUUUAACAUUUGGAAGUUGUGUUUUCAUAGCUGAAAUUUAACAGUGCUUCAAUUGAUCUACUAUUCCAUCUGUGUCUAAUCACUGCUGGGCCAAUACUUACAAACUCCCCAGACCAUGAAUCACACUUAAGUAAUCAUCAAUCUAUUGAAAACAUGUUGACUGCUGCUUACCUCAGCCUCAAAAAUCUGUAAUCCAUGUUAUUCUGUGGGCCACAGCUUGGUAGCUAUCAGUUAAAAUGUUAUUUCAGGUGCAGGGAAACCAGCAGAACAUUUUGGUGUAUGCGUUGAAAACUUUUCAGUAAACUGACUUUUACCACAAAAUUUAAAACUCUGUGGCAUUUAGAAAAGAGACACACCUUCCCUCCUGCC
rnacentral:lncRNA from 1 species